GGACCAAGCGCCAGCCAGCAAGGAAAUUUCGCACGCGCAGGGAGGAAACACCAGAGAGAGACACAGGGCACCGUGGGAACUGCGCGGCACCGAAUCGGAGGAGCAGGGAGAGCUGAGGAGCUGAGCCGAGGGCGUUCGGUCAGAGGAGCGGCUGCGCGCGAGCGCAAGGAAGCUCGGCGAGCUUGGAGGAGACCGCGGCGCAGGGAGUAGGGACUAGGCGCUGGGAGAGAAGACGGCCACCAGGGGCAGCUGGGCGAGACUUGGCUGGGCAAGCGGUGCUCGGCAAGGAUGGCUCCACGGCGGGGAAGAAGAAUGGACUGCGUGCGCGCGUUAAAAAAAAAGAGCAGAGGAGCUUCAGCAGAGCCGCGCCAUGGAUACAGAGACCCGACGGCGAGCAGAGCCGCACGGUGGAGAAGGAAAGAAAUUCGAGCGCGUGCAGGGAGGAGUUCGGCUGGGCACACGCUCGGCUGACAGAGAGCAGCCAGGGGCACGGCGAUGGGAGCUCUCGCUGGGCGCGACAUAGGGAAGAUGAGCAGGGGUGGAGCUCGGCCUGACGGCUGCCAUGGCAACGGGCAGAGGGACUCCGGCGUCCAGGGCAGGGUCGACGGCGGCUUGAAGAAGAGAGAGAGGGAGCGACGCGGCAAGUACCAGCAAGCAGCAGGGAAGAGAGUAGAGAGAGGGAGAGGGAGACACAGCUGCCCGCAGAGGAGCCCUGGCCGGGCGCUCGGCCAUGAGCGGGAGCAGGAGACAGCUCCACGAAUGGGAGGAGUGCGCUGGAAGAUGAGCUUGAGGGAGAGAACGGCUGCAGAAAAAAAAACGAGUGCAAAGCACGAUAGGAUAAGUAGAGACGGUGGGCGGUGGAAAAAAAAAACACCACGGAUGAGGAUUAGAGAGAGCGAAGUGGAGGAUAGAGCCGACUGAUUUUUUUUUCUAUUUUGUUUUUUUUUUAUUUCCAGAAAUCACAAGUAUUUUGAAGUCCCGAUUUUUAGUGCUGAAUAAAGGAUCGAUGCACUACACGAAUACACAUAACAUGCUUCGGAUUUAGCGAACCAAAUUAAUCGCUAAUCACUUAUAUCCGAAGAUUCAGAUCCGGG
rnacentral:misc_RNA from 1 species